rnacentral:rRNA from 1 species
AGUGAACGCUGGCGGUAGGCCUAACACAUGCAAGUCGAACGGCAGCACAGUAAGAGCUUGCUCUUACGGGUGGCGAGUGGCGGACGGGUGAGGAAUACAUCGGAAUCUACUUUUUCGUGGGGGAUAACGUAGGGAAACUUACGCUAAUACCGCAUACGACCUACGGGUGAAAGCAGGGGAUCUUCGGACCUUGCGCGAUUGAAUGAGCCGAUGUCGGAUUAGCUAGUUGGCGGGGUAAAGGCCCACCAAGGCGACGAUCCGUAGCUGGUCUGAGAGGAUGAUCAGCCACACUGGAACUGAGACACGGUCCAGACUCCUACGGGAGGCAGCAGUGGGGAAUAUUGGACAAUGGGCGAAAGCCUGAUCCAGCAAUACCGCGUGGGUGAAGAAGGCCUUCGGGUCGUAAAGCCCUUUUGUUGGGAAAGAAAAGCAGCAGGUUAAUCCCCCGCUGUUCUGACGGUACCCAAAGAAUAAGCACCGGCUAACUUCGUG